GAUGAAGAACGUAGCAAAAUGCGAUAAGUAAUGUGAAUUGCAGAAUUCAGUGAAUCAUCGAAUCUUUGAACGCACAUUGCGCCCGCUGGUAUUCCGGCGGGCAUGCCUGUUCGAGCGUCAUUUCAACCCUCAAGCCCCCGGGUUUGGUGUUGGGGAUCGGCUCUGCCUUCUGGCGGUGCCGCCCCCGAAAUACAUUGGCGUUCUCGCUGCAGCCUCCAUUGCGUAGUAGCUAACACCUCGCAACUGGAACGCGGCGCGGCCAUGCCGUAAAACCCCAACUUCUGAAUGUUGACCUCGGAUCAGGUAGGAAUACCCGCUGAACUUAAGCAUAUCAAUAAGCGGAGGA
rnacentral:misc_RNA from 1 species